GCCAUAGCUCAGUGGUAGAACAUCUGCUUUGCAUGCAGAAGGUCUCAGGUUCAAUUCCUGACAUCUCCA